AUAAAUAAAUGCAUAAAUAAAUAUAAAGAUAAAUCUAUUUAAAAAAUGUUAAUAAAAAAAUGUGUGAUAUAAAAUGUCCCAAUAUUUAUACAGACUAUAUAAGCAUAUAAAUAAAUACAAUUAAUAACAAAUAAAAAAGGAAAAGAAAGAAAAAGCCCAAACAAGUCUCUACAAACUAUACUAUAGUACUUUGGGGACAAUUUAUGAAUUCUACCCAAUUAAUUCUGUUUUAGAAAUGUAAAUAUAUUUUGUAAAAAUUGAUUAAAUAAAGUCAAAGCAAGUACUUCUAAACUGCACCAUUAUUUAUUUUUUGAGUGUAGCAGUUUUUUUGUAAGUGUUAAAUCACAAAAUAUGCAUGAAAGAACCAUCUGGAAACCUCUGAUCUUGAAACCAGCCAGGUCAUCUUGUUUUCCAAAGGUGAAUAAAUGAGAAAGCCUGUAACUUCCUGCGUGAGUUCCUGCGACUCUGUGAUGUUGUGUAGGUUGGCUGUGCCCUCCACUGGUUGAGCUGCCUUAUUGAUUCCACCGCCGCCUGCUGGGCCAAAGGGAUGAUGGGGCAUACCAUGAAUAAAGACACUUUUCAUCCCAAUUUAAGGUAUAACAGCUAAUAUGCAAUAGAUAUUCAUCAUCAUUUGUGCAUUUUAAUGCUUGAAGACACUGCAGAUCCGAUCUGAAUAUAAAUUAUGAAUCACAAAUGUGUCAGUUCUCACCUGUGGUUUGAUUGGUGGGAGUAGUUUGAAUGGCAGGGGCUGGGGUUAGAAGUCCUGCCCCUUACCAAUAUGGGGGCUGGAAGGGUAUAAAAUGUAUUUUGGUGGCCAGUCAAGCAUAAGGAAGUCAAAAGCACGUUUGCUGGUUGCUUUAUGUCUGCUGCACAGUUUCCCACAUAGACCUGUGCUAAAGAUGCUGUCACGAAAUCUUGUAAUUGCCUCAGUGGCUGUUGUGCUUCUGGCGUCCACCCUAUCUACGGCUCCUGUUGAAGAUAAGGAGCCUGAAGAAAAUGACUUUGAGGCUGAAGAGGGUGAAGAAGAACUGUCUGAGGAGGAAGAGGAUGAUGAUGACUCCAAAGGUCAGCAUAUGAAGGGAGCCGGAUCGCAGCAGGCCACUGCAGCACCCAAAGGCUUGGGUAAGGUGAAGCUAAUCCUCUUUAGAGCUGGAGGCAGAGAACACUGAACCUCUCAGCACUAGAAAAUAGUUCACUGGGUGCACCCUGCUCAGUAAGCAAAGUCAAUCAGUAGUUAAUCUGGUUUAGGGAUCAGGUAUGAGGGGAUUUUAGCCACGAUGGCUGAACGGCAUUGCUCUAUUUAUUAAUAAUUGUGGAAAGACAAAACAUCAGGUGCACAGAUCCAUGUAAAACACAGGCCUGUAGCGCAGUGAGAUUGCAUGUUUGUUGGGCCAGUGUUUCAGGACCUUGUUUAGACUGAAGGGCUAUUUUUCUCUAAGGUAUGACUCCUGGCAGCGCCGUUGCGGGCGAAUCCCCAAACGGUAAGGAAAGUCUACUCGAUAACGCAAAAACAAGUUCUGUUCGGAGUGCAUUAGCCUCUCAUGGCCUCUGGUGAAAGGUGAAUUUGUUGAAAACUCAAUGGCCACUUUUCAGGCCUUUCUGAAGUCCAAUACAUCUUUUGACAAAACCUUUGCUCUUGUUUCCCAGGUCAGAAACUUAAUGGUGGCACUCAAACUGGCCAAGUCUGUAAGUGUGAACCUGAUCUAUCAGGGGCAAAACUUUCACACAAAUCGUACUUUAGAAAAGCAACACCGACUGACCUUGUGUAGGAAAUACACUACAGAGCUACAAUAUACGCACAUGGUCAUAGCUGAACAUCAGAAGGUCAAAUCUAGAUAUAUCUUCUCAUUCAUGGCCAAUUAAAAACUAAACUAGUGUUUUUGUCAUUACAGCAUCAGGCAGCACAUCAGCAGCUUCAAAUGGAGCAAAUGGUGACCAGCAUUUCAAUCAGAAUUUAUUAAAACAGCUCUGCAUCUUGAGAAAAAAAAAACAUUCUGUUGAUUUGCAAAAAAAAAAAGGCCUAUAUUACCCAAUUUUAUGAUGCUGAUUUCAAAAAUAUAAAUAAAAACUUCCUAUCACAUUUCUUCCCCA
ensembl:lncRNA